rnacentral:rRNA from 1 species
UACAGAGGGUGCAAGCGUUGUUCGGAAUUAUUGGGCGUAAAGCGCGUGUAGGCGGCCCUGUAAGUCGGGUGUGAAAUCCCACGGCUCAACCGUGGAAGUGCACUCGAAACUACAGGGCUAGAGUCCUGGAGAGGAAGGUGGAAUGCUUGGUGUAGAGGUGAAAUUCGUAGAUAUCAAGCGGAACACCGGUGGCGAAGGCGGC